GAUGAACGCUGGCGGCGUGCCUAAUACAUGCAAGUCGAGCGAACGGACGAGAAGCUUGCUUCUCUGAUGUUAGCGGCGGACGGGUGAGUAACACGUGGAUAACCUACCUAUAAGACUGGGAUAACUUCGGGAAACCGGAGCUAAUACCGGAUAAUAUUUUGAACCGCAUGGUUCAAAAGUGAAAGACGGUCUUGCUGUCACUUAUAGAUGGAUCCGCGCUGCAUUAGCUAGUUGGUAAGGUAACGGCUUACCAAGGCAACGAUGCAUAGCCGACCUGAGAGGGUGAUCGGCCACACUGGAACUGAGACACGGUCCAGACUCCUACGGGAGGCAGCAGUAGGGAAUCUUCCGCAAUGGGCGAAAGCCUGACGGAGCAACGCCGCGUGAGUGAUGAAGGUCUUCGGAUCGUAAAACUCUGUUAUUAGGGAAGAACAUAUGUGUAAGUAACUGUGCACAUCUUGACGGUACCUAAUCAGAAAGCCACGGCUAACUACGUGCCAGCAGCCGCGGUAAUACGUAGGUGGCAAGCGUUAUCCGGAAUUAUUGGGCGUAAAGCGCGCGUAGGCGGUUUUUUAGUCUGAUGUGAAAGCCCACGGCUCAACCGUGGAGGGUCAUUGGAAACUGGAAAACUUGAGUGCAGAAGAGGAAAGUGGAAUUCCAUGUGUAGCGGUGAAAUGCGCAGAGAUAUGGAGGAACACCAGUGGCGAAGGCGACUUUCUGGUCUGUAACUGACGCUGAUGUGCGAAAGCGUGGGGAUCAAACAGGAUUAGAUACCCUGGUAGUCCACGCCGUAAACGAUGAGUGCUAAGUGUUAGGGGGUUUCCGCCCCUUAGUGCUGCAGCUAACGCAUUAAGCACUCCGCCUGGGGAGUACGACCGCAAGGUUGAAACUCAAAGGAAUUGACGGGGACCCGCACAAGCGGUGGAGCAUGUGGUUUAAUUCGAAGCAACGCGAAGAACCUUACCAAAUCUUGACAUCCUUUGACAACUCUAGAGAUAGAGCUUUCCCCUUCGGGGGACAAAGUGACAGGUGGUGCAUGGUUGUCGUCAGCUCGUGUCGUGAGAUGUUGGGUUAAGUCCCGCAACGAGCGCAACCCUUAAGCUUAGUUGCCAUCAUUAAGUUGGGCACUCUAAGUUGACUGCCGGUGACAAACCGGAGGAAGGUGGGGAUGACGUCAAAUCAUCAUGCCCCUUAUGAUCUGGGCUACACACGUGCUACAAUGGACAAUACAAAGGGCAGCGAAACCGUGAGGUCAAGCAAAUCCCAUAAAGUUGUUCUCAGUUCGGAUUGUAGUCUGCAACUCGACUACAUGAAGCUGGAGUCGCUAGUAAUCGUAGAUCAGCAUGCUACGGUGAAUACGUUCCCGGGUCU
rnacentral:rRNA from 1 species